rnacentral:rRNA from 1 species
GACGAACGCUGCCGGCGUGCUUAACACAUGCAAGUCGAACGGAAAGGCCCUGCUUUUGUGGGGUGCUCGAGUGGCGAACGGGUGAGUAACACGUGAGUAACCUGCCCUUGACUUUGGGAUAACUUCAGGAAACUGGGGCUAAUACCGGAUAGGAGCUCCUGCUGCAUGGUGGGGGUUGGAAAGUUUCGGCGGUUGGGGAUGGACUCGCGGCUUAUCAGCUUGUUGGUGGGGUAGUGGCUUACCAAGGCUUUGACGGGUAGCCGGCCUGAGAGGGUGACCGGCCACAUUGGGACUGAGAUACGGCCCAGACUCCUACGGGAGGCAGCAGUGGGGAAUAUUGCACAAUGGGCGGAAGCCUGAUGCAGCAACGCCGCGUGCGGGAUGACGGCCUUCGGGUUGUAAACCGCUUUCGCCUGUGACGAAGCGUGAGUGACGGUAAUGGGUAAAGAAGCACCGGCUAACUACGUG